UGCUGACGAUUCCAAAAUGAGGCUUCAGGCAAAAGGGAAGUUAGUGAAAAAAGGAGAAAAAUAUGCAUAUAUAUGGAGAGGGGAAGUUUAGUUUGCCAGAGGAAGUGUAUGAAGCACAGAUGAUUGGUGGGGUGGCUUUGCUUCUUCUACUACAAAGGAAAAAGGGCUAAAAAAUGACAUUGCACCAAUACCCAAAAUGUGUGAAAUGCAUGAUUGGCCUGCAAGGGAGUGAGAAAAAUUUGUCUCAGCAACAGCAACAGUGGCCUUAUUAAGUUCACCCUUGUCCAAGCAAAAUAUACGCAUUUUUUUUCCCUGUUUUCCCCCCUUUUUCCAUCCUAUUCUCUCACUUACCUGAGCCACACCCACUUCUCCAAAUGGGGUGGCUGCAAUCCUUUCUCUCUCCAUUGAAGAAGCUGUGGUUUCGUCUGCAUUCAACUACUAAAAAGAGAAGAGGGAUAUACAUUCUAUAUGAGGAUGUGAAAUCUUGCCCCUGUGAAGAUGUUCAUGUCCUAUGGUCAAUACUGGUGGAAUCCAAUGCACCCUCCAUGCCAUCAAAACAAUGAAGGCCUAUACUCAGUACAGAAUUUACUAAAAUUAAUGGGAAAUUUCGAGUCAACGUCAUGUACAUAAAAUAUUUAUGAUGUUUUAUAUACUCUGGUGAAAAGGCUUUUUUGUUUUCUACUUUUGCCUUUUUAAGUUUCUUGUCAUCUCAGCUACAUAUACUAUACUAGAACAUCACUUUCCUUGUUUCAUUUUUAUUUCCUGUUUUAAACUUUUGCUUGGCCCUAACUACUCUAAUUCUGUCUUUA